AGGGUUUGAUUAUGGCUCAGAUUGAACGCUGGCGGCAGGCCUAACACAUGCAAGUCGAGCGGUAGAGAGGUGCUUGCACCUCUUGAGAGCGGCGGACGGGUGAGUAAUGCCUAGGAAUCUGCCUGGUAGUGGGGGAUAACGCUCGGAAACGGACGCUAAUACCGCAUACGUCCUACGGGAGAAAGCAGGGGACCUUCGGGCCUUGCGCUAUCAGAUGAGCCUAGGUCGGAUUAGCUAGUUGGUGGGGUAAUGGCUCACCAAGGCGACGAUCCGUAACUGGUCUGAGAGGAUGAUCAGUCACACUGGAGCCGAGACACGGUCCAGACUCCUACGGGAGGCAGCAGUGGGGAAUAUUGGACAAUGGGCGAAAGCCUGAUCCAGCCAUGCCGCGUGUGUGAAGAAGGUCUUCGGAUUGUAAAGCACUUUAAGUUGGGAGGAAGGGCAUUAACCUAAUACGUUAGUGUUUUGACGUUACCGACAGAAUAAGCACCGGCUAACUCUGUGCCAGCAGCCGCGGUAAUACAGAGGGUGCAAGCGUUAAUCGGAAUUACUGGGCGUAAAGCGCGCGUAGGUGGUUCGUUAAGUUGGAUGUGAAAUCCCCGGGCUCAACCUGGGAACUGCAUUCAAAACUGUCGAGCUAGAGUAUGGUAGAGGGUGGUGGAAUUUCCUGUGUAGCGGUGAAAUGCGUAGAUAUAGGAAGGAACACCAGUGGCGAAGGCGACCACCUGGACUGAUACUGACACUGAGGUGCGAAAGCGUGGGGAGCAAACAGGAUUAGAUACCCUGGUAGUCCACGCCGUAACGAUGUCAACUAGCCGUUGGGAGCCUUGAGCUCUUAGUGGCGCAGCUAACGCAUUAAGUUGACCGCCUGGGGAGUACGGCCGCAAGGUUAAAACUCAAAUGAAUUGACGGGGGCCCGCACAAGCGGUGGAGCAUGUGGGUUUAAUUCG
rnacentral:rRNA from 1 species